AAUAUUUCGGCGAUGAAAAUUAUAAAAUUAUACUCUGCAAUAUCAAAUGGAAUUCCAAUCUAAUAUUCCAAUCACCACAUAGUCUAGCACCGUUGCCGUGAGGAACGGAUCCGUAUGAUCUGUCAUUACACCAGUACCGAUAAUCAUUUCA